rnacentral:rRNA from 1 species
ACUUAAAUUGAAGAGUUUGAUCAUGGCUCAGAUUGAACGCUGGCGGCAGGCCUAACACAUGCAAGUCGAGCGGUAGCACAGAGAGCUUGCUCUCGGGUGACGAGCGGCGGACGGGUGAGUAAUGUCUGGGAAACUGCCUGAUGGAGGGGGAUAACUACUGGAAACGGUAGCUAAUACCGCAUAACGUCGCAAGACCAAAGAGGGGGACCUUCGGGCCUCUUGCCAUCAGAUGUGCCCAGAUGGGAUUAGCUAGUAGGUGGGGUAACGGCUCACCUAGGCGACGAUCCCUAGCUGGUCUGAGAGGAUGACCAGCCACACUGGAACUGAGACACGGUCCAGACUCCUACGGGAGGCAGCAGUGGGGAAUAUUGCACAAUGGGCGCAAGCCUGAUGCAGCCAUGCCGCGUGUAUGAAGAAGGCCUUCGGGUUGUAAAGUACUUUCAGCGGGGAGGAAGGCGAUAAGGUUAAUAACCUUGUCGAUUGACGUUACCCGCAGAAGAAGCACCGGCUAACUCCGUGCCAGCAGCCGCGGUAAUACGGAGGGUGCAAGCGUUAAUCGGAAUUACUGGGCGUAAAGCGCACGCAGGCGGUCUGUCAAGUCGGAUGUGAAAUCCCCGGGCUCAACCUGGGAACUGCAUUCGAAACUGGCAGGCUAGAGUCUUGUAGAGGGGGGUAGAAUUCCAGGUGUAGCGGUGAAAUGCGUAGAGAUCUGGAGGAAUACCGGUGGCGAAGGCGGCCCCCUGGACAAAGACUGACGCUCAGGUGCGAAAGCGUGGGGAGCAAACAGGAUUAGAUACCCUGGUAGUCCACGCCGUAAACGAUGUCGACUUGGAGGUUGUGCCCUUGAGGCGUGGCUUCCGGAGCUAACGCGUUAAGUCGACCGCCUGGGGAGUACGGCCGCAAGGUUAAAACUCAAAUGAAUUGACGGGGGCCCGCACAAGCGGUGGAGCAUGUGGUUUAAUUCGAUGCAACGCGAAGAACCUUACCUACUCUUGACAUCCAGAGAACUUUCCAGAGAUGGAUUGGUGCCUUCGGGAACUCUGAGACAGGUGCUGCAUGGCUGUCGUCAGCUCGUGUUGUGAAAUGUUGGGUUAAGUCCCGCAACGAGCGCAACCCUUAUCCUUUGUUGCCAGCGGUUAGGCCGGGAACUCAAAGGAGACUGCCAGUGAUAAACUGGAGGAAGGUGGGGAUGACGUCAAGUCAUCAUGGCCCUUACGAGUAGGGCUACACACGUGCUACAAUGGCGCAUACAAAGAGAAGCGACCUCGCGAGAGCAAGCGGACCUCAUAAAGUGCGUCGUAGUCCGGAUUGGAGUCUGCAACUCGACUCCAUGAAGUCGGAAUCGCUAGUAAUCGUAGAUCAGAAUGCUACGGUGAAUACGUUCCCGGGCCUUGUACACACCGCCCGUCACACCAUGGGAGUGGGUUGCAAAAGAAGUAGGUAGCUUAACCUUCGGGAGGGCGCUUACCACUUUGUGAUUCAUGACUGGGGUGAAGUCGUAACAAGGUAACCGUAGGGGAACCUGCGGUUGGAUCACCUCCUUACCUUAAAGAA